rnacentral:tRNA from 1 species
GGGGCGAUGGCGGAAUCGGCAGACGCAACGGACUUAAAAUCCGUCGGUAGUGAUACCGUGAGGGUUCGACCCCCUCUCGCCCCACCU